CCCUUAGAUGUUCUGGGCUGCACGCGCGCUACACUGAUGCGUUCAACGAGUGUACAACCUUGCCCGAUAGGGUUGGGUAACCUUUUGAACACGCAUCGUGAUGGGGAUAGAGUAUUGCAAUUAUUACUCUUCAACGAGGAAUUCCUAGUAAUGAUGGUUCAUCAGACCGUCGUGAUUACGUCCCUGCCCUUUGUACACACCGCCCGUCGCUCCUACCGAUUGAGCAAUCCGGUGAAUAUUUCGGACCGGCACUUGAUCAGGGCAACUUGAUCUAGAGCUGGAAAGUCAAGUUAACCUUAUUGCUUAGAGGAAGGAGAAGUCGUAACA
rnacentral:rRNA from 1 species